UAGGGAAUCUUCCGCAAUGGGCGAAAGCCUGACGGAGCAACGCCGCGUGAGUGAUGAAGGUCUUCGGAUCGUAAAACUCUGUUAUUAGGGAAGAACAAAUGUGUAAGUAACUAUGCACGUCUUGACGGUACCUAAUCAGAAAGCCACGGCUAACUACGUGCCAGCAGCCGCGGUAAUACGUAGGUGGCAAGCGUUAUCCGGAAUUAUUGGGCGUAAAGCGCGCGUAGGCGGUUUUUUAAGUCUGAUGUGAAAGCCCACGGCUCAACCGUGGAGGGUCAUUGGAAACUGGAAAACUUGAGUGCAGAAGAGGAAAGUGGAAUUCCAUGUGUAGCGGUGAAAUGCGCAGAGAUAUGGAGGAACACCAGUGGCGAAGGCGACUUUCUUGUCUGUAACUGACGCUGAUGUGCGAAAGCGUGGGAAUCAAACAGG
rnacentral:rRNA from 1 species